UACGGAGGGGGCUAGCGUUAUUCGGAAUUACUGGGCGUAAAGCGCACGUAGGCGGCUUUGUAAGUUAGAGGUGAAAGCCUGGAGCUCAACUCCAGAAUUGCCUUUAAGACUGCAUCGCUUGAAUCCAGGAGAGGUGAGUGGAAUUCCGAGUGUAGAGGUGAAAAUUCGUAGAUAUUCGGAAGAAACACCAGUGGCGAAGGCGGCUCACUGGACUG
rnacentral:rRNA from 1 species